UGUAUCCUCAGGAAGUGCCCUCCCCCAACAGAGACCCUGGCAGGGCCAAGGGCUACUCCUCCUUCCCCCAUGCUGGCUCCACUUCCUAAGCCCACCGUAUUUUAUAGUGAUAACCCCUGGUCAGCAGCCUGUCUCCCAACAUAGUGCUCCCCCCACCCCCUCACCACCUGUCUCCGGCCAAAAGCAUCCUUCAGCCCUGCCCCUGCUCCCACCCAGGCCCCCCGCUUUCAAAGCCAGAGUGGCUUCAGCUCACCAUUUGACUUGUGUCCCUCCCAUGGUCCCCCUCCUGUCUUGGGUUUCAGCAAGCCUGUGUCCCCGGGUGAAGUGGGAGGCUGAGAGUCACAUCACUCCCAAAUUCAGGCAUGUCUCCCCGCGCUGGGGCUGGAAAACGCCUCCACGGGAAGGCCAGCUAGCGGAGCUACUCGCCCGGCUCGCGGGAGAAAGUGGGAACGGCAGCGGCGGCGUCUCGGCCCCAGCGACGAGGAUGCUCCCGGCUCUGAAGCGCGCCGUCCCGGGCGCUCAGACUCUGCUGCGGCCCGGCCCCGGCGGAAGCUGCCACCCCUCGCAGGCUGCCGGCCCCUGGCCGCUGCAUCUUGGCCUCCGCGGACGCACGGUGCCCGGCAUCCCCCCAGGCGGAGGCAUCUCACCCCAUUUGCCACUGGGAGGGAGGCUCCCGGCGGCGCAGGCUGCGCCUCAAGUCCCCAGCGGCGAUCCCGCUCCGCGACACCUUCCGGAUCCCUCCCCGCCCCUCCCUCUGCUGCCUCCCGGGGCUGUCACCAGCCGCGAGGCGGCCGGGCUCCGAUCCAAGCCAGCUCCGCUGGGCCGGCCAACCGACCGCUCUGGGCGGAGCACUGUGGUGGAGGAAGUGAAAGAAGUUCAGCAUACCCAGAGCCCAGAAUGCAGGAGGAGAGAGGGAAAGGUAAACGAUAAUGAUGUCCUAAAUGGCAGUGUUCCCUCAAAAUAGCUGACUUUAAUGGGCCAGAUCCCCAAGCCCACUCCACAUGGGAACCAGAUCAGAGGUUACAACCAAGGAUUUUCCUGAGGCUGGCACUCUCUGGUUAACAUUGAGUAUACUCCUGCACCAACGAUGUGAUGAGGCACUGACCUUUAGCUGAAGUCUGGUGCAUACGAAUCUUUUUGGAGGCCACAAACUGCAGCACUUUCUCCACAUUAUUCUUCAUCUCCUGUUGGUUACUGGGACUGAGCUGUACCCCACUCAGCUUUUCUCCUGCUGUUAGGAGUGAGAAAAUAUAGGCAGUUACAGGGAGGAAUAUUAUCAAAGUUUCAUAGCAGCUAGACAAAGAGGAAGGGAAGAUUAGAUGUGAACACCAACAUUAUACAUAAGUAUAUAAAUGAGUUAAAUCCUGGUAUUUGUCAUUUAGAUGGGAAAUAGGAAAAUGAAAGCCUUUUAGAAGGCUUUCAAAUUUAUACUUAGGGGUCUGUGAAGUUGCUGUGCAUACAUUUAUUCAGUCAACAAAUACUCACUGAGCAUCUACUGAGUGGCAAGUAGUCACUGUUCUGGGCACCAGAGAAACAGGAGAGAACAAGAACAAUAAAGUCCCUUUCCCUCAUAGAAUUUAUACCUGCAGGAGUGGCAGACAACAGCCAAGUUAACAAGUAAGCGUUUAAUAUAAUUUCAUAGUAGCAGUAAGUGCUUGAGGAAAAAUAAAGUGCAGUGACCAUGGUCUCUCUGAUAAUACGUUUGGCAGCAGCUUGAAUAAAGUAAAGCAUGUUAAGAUUUGAGGAGGAAGCAUUCUAGACUGAGGAACCACAGGAACCAAACCCCAAGCUCAGCUUUCCUGAAGGAUAGCAAGAGCAAUGUGGCUGGGGGAGUGAGCUAGGAGUCAAGUCCUAGGAGAGGCUAGAGGGGUAAGCAAGGCCAGGGCGUGCAGGGCUUUCUGGACAAGAAAGGGCAAAGAGCCUGAAUUUUAUCCUAAGUGUAAUGAGCAGCCAAUGGAGAGUCUGAGACAAAGGAGUGACAUAAUCUGGUUCAUGUUUUUAAAAGUUGAUUGGCAGGGCAUCAUGGCUUAUGCCCACACCCAUAAUCCUAGCACUUUGGGAAACCAAGGCAGGAGAAUUACCUGAGUCCAGGAGUUCAAGACUAGCCUGGGCAAGAUGGUAAAAACCCCGUCUCUACAAAAAUAAAAAUAAAUAAAUAAAAUGGACUCUGUGUGGAAACAGACUAUGCAGAGAGGAAAUAGGGAGAUCAGUCAGAAGGUUGAUGAAAAUAGUCAAGGCAAGACAUGAUGGUGAUUUGGGCUACAGUGGAAGAAGCUGACUGAUGAGAAGUUAGGUAUCAGGUAUAUUGUGAAUACAAAGCAGACAGCACAUAUGAAGGAUUCAAUAUGAUAUAUGAGAAAAAGGACAGUUAAGGACACCUUCUAAGUGUGCUGCUUUAACACCUAGGCAAAUGAUAAAUGCAGUGUGUUACUCAGAUGAAGAAACGUGGAGAAUAAAGAGAUUGGUGGGGGAAGGACAACCAAAUUUCUGAUUAGGACAUGUGAAAUUUGAGUUGCAUGUUAGACAUCUAAGUAGAGAUGUUGGAUAUUCAUGUCUAGAACUCAAGGAAAAAUUCAAGGCUAAAGACACAAAUUUGGGAAGACAUCACUUAGGAGUAGAGAAACAGCACUCCAGCAUUAGAGGUCAAGAAGGAAAAGAAAAGCCAGCAAAACAAAUAAAAGAAGCCAGUGAGGAAGGAAGUAAAAUAGAAGCUAAUAGAAUUCUGGAAGUCAAGUAAAGAAAGUUUGUGAAGAGAAGAGUGUUAUCAACUAUGUCAAGUACUGCUAUGUUGAAUAAAAUGAGGUCUGAGGCCUGGCCACUGGAUUUGAUAUGACCUUGAGGAAAGGUUUCAGUGGAGUGAGAUCAAAAGCUUAAGGGCAGGUUAAAGAAAGAAUAGGAAAUAAGGAAGUGGAUUCAGUGAGUAUAGGCAAAAUCUUGUGAGGAGUUUUUCUAUCUCGCAAAGUCACAAUAGAAAGUUGUGUUUUUGGUGACAACCCAAAUUGAAAGUAAAUUUUAAAAAAGAAAGAAAGAAAGUCGUGUUUAAAAACCUGGGUUUUGUGGGGAAAGGGUACGAGGGGGAAAAAAAAGAGCCUAGUUUUGGAAAAAUAAGAAUACAUAUUAGUAUGACUUGUAUAGACAUAGACUGGGAAUUUUCUUUGGGAAGAAAUCAAGAAACUGCUAACACUAGUUGCCUCUAGAAGGAAAAAUGGGGAGCUGGUGGGAAGACAUAAGUGGAAAAAAGGUUUGACCUUAUAUCCUUUUGUACCUCUGGAUUUCCUACUAGUCCAUGUCUCACCUAUUCUAAUAAAUGAAACAUUAAAUGUUGAAAAGAGGCUUUGGAAUUAAAAUAGAGCUAGGUUUGUACCUCUACUUUGGCACUUAUAGUUAUGUGACUUUGUAAAGUUGCUUGGCCUCUCUAAGCCUCAUAAAAUGAAUAAAAUAGUAGUAGUCAUAUUAUACACCUGUCAUAAAUAAAUCAAAAUAGCAUGCUUAGCUAUUUUGUUUGACUCAUGGUAAGUACUCAAUGAAUUUAUUUAUUUUUAUAAAUCUUCUCUUUUAAGCGUGUUUCCUAAAAGUGGGGAUAAUAUUAUGUUUCCCAAAGAUGUGAUGAUUAAAUGAAAUUAAACAAGAUAGAAAGUAUUCAAUCCUAGCAGUUGCUAGUACCAUUGCUAUUAUUAGCUAUUAUUAUUGUCAUUACACAUGAAUACCCUGAUGAAUUCAUAAACUGUCCUAGUGAGGUAUUCAUGGAUGGGCUGCCUGUUGCAAACCUGGCUUCUUCCGUACAACUUACAGGCCCCAUAUCCCUCAAGAGCUCAAAGCAAAGUCAGCUAACAUAACAAUAAAUCUUUGAUAAUCUAUUAUGUGCACUUGGUUAGAGCUUGUAUACAUGGAAAAAUAUUAUACCAUGCCUGCUCUUAAAGAGCUCAGUCCAGGGAGGGUGAUUCGAAGAAAAGGAAAAAAAAAAAAAAGAGCUCAGUUCACACAGGGUAGGUAAAUGAAUGAUAGCCACAUAAUUUCCAUUUGAUGAGAGAAAUAAUAUGGACAAAUGCUAUGGAAAUAAGGUUAUGGUACCAUCUAGUAAGAAUGACUGGCAACAACCGCAGGGCUUCAAGAGGAAAAAAACCUUUUAUGAAGCAUUAUGGUAGAAGGGUCCUUUUGCCAGUUAACACCCCUCCUUUUACCUGGCUACUACUUCCUUCUCUGGCCUUGGCUUAGAUACCAAUUUUUUGGCAGGCCUCAGUUAAGACAUCAGUUCUGGUAAGCUAAUCCCUGAGCCCCUAGGACUGGGCUGGGUAUCCCACCUAUGUGCUCCCAUCCAUGCUUACCCCACUGGAGUACUAAGUACAUUAAUGGAAUUGACUUCACUUCCCAGCCUUUCCAACUAGUUUGGUAGACUCUUAAGAGCAUAGACUAUUUUCAUCCUCACAUUAUCAAAGCAUAACAUAGUGCCUGGGACACAAUAUUUAUUGACUAAUAAAUGAAUUAACCUUG